rnacentral:ncRNA from 2 species
UAAAAUUCAGGCGAUGGAGUUCGCCAAUUGCUAUAUGAUAGCUGAUAACUCCUAUUGAAGC